rnacentral:misc_RNA from 1 species
GGGUAAUCCUCCAAUCUCCAAUUCCUUGCUCAUGGUGCACUUCUUCAUUCUUCUGUACCUCUAAUUGUCAGUCUGUAGCUUUAUCCUCUUCUCAUACUCCUUGGGUUUGCCAAUCCUUAACUCACUUAAAAAACACCUUUUCUUCUCAUAGUUUGAAUGUUGAUCAACAAAUUCAAGCAUUUUUUCUUAUCUCAGCUUAUAAUUUAGCAGUGAUUUCUCCUUCUUCGUUUCGUGUGCUGUUAUCUCUUCAAGGGGAUUCGUCAUUUGUGUCGGAAAGUGAUGUUCUUUUGCUUCAUUCUCUCGUUGCUACGUGCCCGUCGUUGAAUCUUGGUGAAUUUGGGUUCUCUAAAGAGCUUACUGCUGCUCUUUUGGCUAAGGAUAAGGUGAAUGCAUUUGGGUUGAUGGAACCUUUUGAGGUUGAUAGAGA